CAAUGGGAAUCCCGGCUGCUGCAGAGAACCCCCAGUUCCAGAGCGGCGCUGGCCCUGGGCCUUCAGCUGGUUUUGCUCUGCAGGCAAAGCACUGCAACGCUUAUUUCUGUCUGCAGGAGAACAGCAAAGCAGAUUCUUUCUCUCACCCCCACUCCCCUCAAAAGUCGCAGAAAACAGGUCAUGUUAGGAAAGGAAAGGUGCCAUCCCGUAGGACAUUUUCCCCAAACUGUAAGACAGCCACUACCCAGCCUGGCUUCAAAGCCUCGUUUCGACCACAGACCCGAUGGGCCGACUGGAGAUGGGGCACGGAUAUGGGACACGGGGCUUGGGUUAGGGGACUUGCGAGCGAGCAGCCCGGCUCCGCCGCAGCGCCAUGCGGCAGCUCGUGGGCCACCACAAGGUCUGUUUAGCCAGACCGAGCACACACGCAAGGCACGUUGAGGGUACGGACACACACGGCAUGUGUGUAAAAGAGCAAACGCUGGCCAAAAGAUGAUGCCGGAUAAACGAAUUAAGCGGGCGGGGAAUUCUCGUCUAGGCAUUUAUACGCUAUUUUCCAGGCAGCUGUAAUCCCAAAGCAUUUUUCCUACCCAACUUUAGACCUUCCCUCACUUUACUAAGAUUUUUUU